rnacentral:rRNA from 1 species
UACAGAGGCCUCGAGCGUUAGGCGGAAUCACUGGGCUUAAAGCGUGUGUAGGCGGAUUGGUAAGUACCUUGUGAAAUCCCACAGCUUAACUGUGGAACUGCUCGGUAUACUGCUGAUCUUGAGCCACUCAGGGGCUACCGGAACAAAUGGUGGAGCGGUGAAAUGCGUAGAUAUUCGCAAGAACACCAGUGGCGAAGGCGGCUAUCUGGACCGGUACUGACGCUGAGGCGCGAAAGCGUGGGGAGCAAACAGG